AGUCUGAUAGCACAGUUGGUUAGCGCAUCUGCGAAAAUUUGUAGGACGGAAAAGUUGAGCUGAAGACCCCUGUUCGAUCCGGGGUCAGGUCA